rnacentral:rRNA from 1 species
AGAUUGAACGCUGGCGGCAUGCCUUACACAUGCAAGUCGAACGGUAGAGUAGCAAUACUCGAGAGUGGCGAACGGGUGAGUAAUAUAUCGGAACGUGCCCAGUCGUGGGGGAUGACGUAGAGAAAUUUACGCUAAUACCGCAUACGAUCUACGGAUGAAAGCGGGGGAUCGCAAGACCUCGCGCGAUUGGAGCGGCUGAUAUCAGAUUAGGUUGUUGGUGAGGUAAAAGCUCACCAAGCCGACGAUCUGUAGCUGGUUUGAGAGAACGACCAGCCACACUGGGACUGAGACACGGCCCAGACUCCUACGGGAGGCAGCAGUGGGGAAUUUUGGACAAUGGGCGAAAGCCUGAUCCAGCAAUGCCGCGUGCAGGAAGAAGGCCUCGGUGUAACUG